GAUGAACGCUGGCGGCGUGCCUAAUACAUGCAAGUCGAGCGAACGGACGAGAAGCUGUCUUCUCUGAUGUUAGCGGCGGACGGGUGAGUAACACGUGGAUAACCUACCUAUAAGACUGGGAUAACUUCGGGAAACCGGAUCUAAGACCGGAUGAUAUUUUGAACCUCAUGGUUCAAGAGUUAAAGACGGUCUUGCUUUCACUUAUAGAUUGAUCCGCGCUGCAUUAGCUAGUUGGUAAGGUAGCGGCUUACCAAGGCAACGAUGCAUAGCCGACCUGAGAGGGUGGUCGGCCACACUGGAACUGAGACACGGUACAGACUCCUACGGGAGGCAGCAGUAGGGACUCUUCCGCAAUGGGCGAAAGCCUGACGGAGCAAAGCCGCCUGAGUGAUGAAGGUCCUCGGAUCGUAAAACUAUGUUAUUAGGGAAGAACAUAUGUGUAAGUAACUGUGAACAUCUUGACGGUACCUAAUCAGAAAGCCACGGCUAACUCCGUG
rnacentral:rRNA from 1 species